rnacentral:rRNA from 1 species
UAGUCUGGUGCCAGCAGCCGCGGUAAUUCCAGCUCCAAUAGCGUAUAUUAAAGUUGUUGCAGUUAAAACGCUCGUAGUCGGAUUUCGGGGCAGGUUUGCCGGUCUGCCGAUGGGUAUGCACUGGUAGAACUGUCCUUCCUUCCGGAGACGGCGCCUACUCUUAACUGAGCGGGUGUCGGAGACGGAUCGUUUACUUUGAAAAAAUCAGAGUGUUUCAAGCAGGCAGCUCGCUUUUGCAUGGAUUAGCAUGGGAUAAUGAAAUAGGACUUUGGUGCUAUUUUGUUGGCUUCGAACACCGAAGUAAUGAUUAACAGGGACAGUCAGGGGCACUCGUAUUCCGCCGAGAGAGGUGAAAUUCUUAGACCAGCGGAAGACGAACCACUGCGAAAGCAUUUGCCAGGGAUGUUUUCACUGAUCAAGAACGAAAGUUAGGGGAUCGAAGACGAUCAGAUACCGUCGUAGUCUUAACCAUAAACCAUGCCGACUAGGGAUUGGAGGAUGUUCCUAUGUGACUCCUUCAGCACCUUUCGGGAAACUAAAGUCUUUGGGUUCCGGGGGGAGUAUGGUCGCAAGGCUGAAACUUAAAGGAAUUGACGGAAGGGCACCACCAGGAGUGGAGCCUGCGGCUUAAUUUGACUCAACACGGGGAAACUUACCAGGUCCAGACAUUGUGAGGAUUGACAGAUUGAGAGCUCUUUCUUGAUUCGAUGGGUGGUGGUGCAUGGCCGUUCUU